AGGCAGAGCAUACCUCAGCUGCACCAGGAGCAAUGUGGCCAGCAGACCAAGCAAUGUUCUUACUCUCUGCACAGCUGGGAUCCUGUGCGAAUCUUCUUCAUGAGGAUUUACUGAAAACAAUGCGCAAGCAAUGUCAGAAUAACCUCCUGUUCUAUGAAAUCAAGCCUCCACAUUCCUCAACAUUUCUCAACACUUUGGUCACUUACGGGAAUGUAACCACUACUGGCAUAAAAAGAAUUAUCCACAAGUUCAUAGGCAAGAAGCAGCUAAACUCUGAAGGAAUUUAAAAGUUUAUCUAGGACCUUCAAUAUGCUGUGAGCUGCUGUGAAACACCUUCUGACAGAACUGCUAACAGGACUAAGAAAGCAUUUCCAGACAUUUUUCAAGCAAUCACCAAGCCAUUGCCUAUGGAAUUUACUUGUUGAUCACAACUGUUUCCUGUUGGCUUUCGCUGUAGUGCUCCAUUUUUAUCACAAUCACUACAACUGUAGGUAAAA